ACUUAUUACAAACAUUGUAAAAAACAACACUAUAAUGUAUUUGUUUAUAUAAAUAAUAAAUAAAAUAUGAUUUUAAAGUAUCACGUCUAGUCAUUUUAAAAACAAAUUAUUUUAAUAGUUAUAGUCACGGAUAUAGUUUAUGUGCUGGAGUGUCUAUGGUUGGGGAUUUGAAGUGCCAUUUUGUUUUCAAAACUUUCAAAACAAUUUUCUUUGCUUUUCUGGACGUUUCGCUGGUGUUAUAAUUGUGCUUUUUUAUUAAUUUUUUUGACGACUUGGCUAUCUUCCUACGGAUUUUGAUAUUCUACCACACCUGAUACUACUUGGCUUCGAAUUUGGAAUUUUGAUAACUGCUUUCGCGAUUUACCUUGGCAAGAUAUCCGGACUACUGGCUGCUCACGAUUUUGGAGUUGUUACUUGAUAACCAUGCCUAAUAAAUCACGAUUGAAGUGCUACUUUGGGUGCGCUAAUGAUGGCCCGCUGCAUCAUUUCCUUAACCCGAAAAGUAUUAAACUAGAAGAUAUUGAGAAAUUUUCUCGGUGGAAAGCUGUGUUAGAUAAAAUAACACAAGAAAAAGGGAAUGUAUACAUAUAUAACCAUAUAUUACUGUGCAAUAAGCACUUUUUGGAGGGCUAUCAGCUGCCAAGCCGUCGUCUGACUAAGAAUGCUGUUCCCACUUUAAAUCUAGGACGCCAAACUCCACCCAUAAUUGAUGAAAGUAUGCCAUCUACAUCAGGGCUGCAACUUUUAGAAGUACAACAAAUUGACCAAAACAUGCAACCAUCAACAUUAAUUACUAUGGCUAUUCAAGUACCAAGAGGUUUGUAAAGUUAAAACAAAAAUUAUCCAACAUACAUACAUUUUCCGAAGCUGCGGACUACCUAGUGGGUUUACCGGGUCUCCGGCUCGAAAAGCAGGAGUAGAAACGGGGUGGUUUUUAGUCAGUAAGAGUCUGACACUCCCUCUCGCCUCGCCCAAGGCGAGAGAAGUCAUUGGAUGAUUUUCAACCCUCAAAAAAAAAAAACAUACAUUAAUUUAUCUGCUCAAGAUGGUUUGUUGACGUCGCCAAAAGCGAAAAAAAUUAUACAUGCCAUAAGUUUCCAGUUUUAUGAAUAAUAUUGAAGAAAAAUUGAUUCAUUUCGUUGUUCAUAAAAUCAUGCAGCACCCCAUUCACUUGGUUACUUGCAUUCACUCUCUUAGCGAGACAGCACGUUUGUUACGUCUAUUAACGUCCCUUCGUGUUUACUGAUCUUUCGCACUAACGUGCAUCAUAUUGGAAAAUAUUAGAACUUAUGUGUUUGGUAAACAGGUGUGAGUCUAUGUAUGUAUGUAAAAUAUGAUUUGUGAUUUAUAAAUAACUUAUAUUUUCCAGGACAUCAGCAGCCGAGUGAUGCAGAAUCUGUCGCAUUGCAGACUUCUACAAUUUAUAAACCUACAAUGAGUAAGAAACAAUCCAUCAUCAUUUUAAAAUAUUCUCAUUUCAUUCUUAGUUUUGUCUUUCAUGUCCGGGUCGGCUGUCUAGUCUAUCCAGAUUGGAUCGAAGGCCGAAUAUCUAUUUAAUAUGUGUUAGGCUUUUUGAGGGUACUGACUUCCCGUAACGAUUAUCAUAACUGUUCUUAUGACAACCCGGAACGACGGCCCUAACGUGCUGGCCGAGGCACGAGAUAAGCGAUAAUUACGCACACAACUUCGAAAACAUUGUUAAGCAAUGUUAAUACUGUGUGGUAUCUAAUGUAACCUCUAUAAUAAUUAUCUUUAAUAUAAUUAUAAAUAAGUUAUUCGAUCGAGUCCACUAUGUAGUUUAAACCAGACGCAACGAAAUAUACAUUUUUCCACUGAUCUCAUAGAUAAAGCAUAUUAGCUCUCUUCGUCAUCUUCUGAGUGACUUUAAGUCGCCGGAAUAUUGUACUAUAGACUCAAUAUUGUGUAUUAAUUUCUUCUCAAGGGUUAUGUUUUUUGUUAUGUUACUUGGCUUAUUCUUUAUAUUGGCCUGAGUAUUUUCUCACAACCCUAUUGUGAAGCAAAUAAUUAGGAGUGGCCUAUGUCCAGCCGUUGAUAUACAAAUCCCAGUACCUACUGUAGUACUUUAGUGUACUGUGGUGAAAGGCUGUGAUGAUGAGCAUUUUUACCCGACUGCGCCAGAAGGAGGGUGAUGUUUUUCGAGUGUAUGUAUGUAUGUAUGUAUGUAUGUAUGUAUGUAUAAUUGUUUGGCACGCUCUGCAGCCUAAACGGCUUGAUGGAUUUUGACUUGAAAGGUGUCGUUAGAUUCGUAUUUACUGUGAGAGUGACACUGGAUAUAUCAAAAUAAUAAAAAAACCAAAAUGGCGAAUUUUUGGCGCCAAAUUCGAAUAUUUCUCACUCUCUAGCCUAAACGGCUUAAUGGAUUUUGACUUGAGAGGUGUCGUUAGAUUCGUAUUUACUGUGAGAGUGACACUGGAUAUAUCAAAAUAAUAAAAAAACAAAAUGGCGGAUUUUUGGCGCCAAAUUCGAAUAUUUCUCACUCUCUAGCCUGAACUGCUUGAUGGAUUUUGACUUGAGAGGUGUCGUUUGAUUCGUAUUUGCUGUGAGAGUGACACUAGAUAUAUCAAAAUACAAAAAUAAUAAAACUAAAAAUAAUUAAAUAAAAAAAGGUAAUUUAAAAAACUAAAAAACCCGACUGCGUUUCUUGAAAAAACCCUAAAACAAGAAAGUCAUCGUAAAAUUUAAGCAGUCGGGACCCAUUCUAGAAAGCCAGCCGUAUGUGCCCUCACAAAGUCUUCAUAUUUAGAAUGGGUCCCGACUGCUUAAAUUUUACGAUGACUUUCUUGUUUUAGGGUUUUUUCAAGAAA